AUAUCAAUAAGCGGAGGAAAAGAAACUAACAAGGAUUCCCCUAGUAACUGCGAGUGAAGCGGGAAAAGCUCAAAUUUAAAAUCUGGCAGCCUUUGGUUGUCCGAGUUGUAGUCUGGAGAAGUGCUUUCCGCGCUGGACCGUGUACAAGUCUCCUGGAACGGAGCGUCGUAGAGGGUGAGAAUCCCGUCUUUGACACGGACUACCAGUGCUUUGUGAUGCGCUCUCAAAGAGUCGAGUUGUUUGGGAAUGCAGCUCAAAAUGGGUGGUGAAUUCCAUCUAAAGCUAAAUAUUGGCGAGAGACCGAUAGCGAACAAGUACCGUGAGGGAAAGAUGAAAAGCACUUUGGAAAGAGAGUUAAACAGUACGUGAAAUUGUUGAAAGGGAAACGAUUGAAGUCAGUCGCGUCGGCCAGGACUCAGCCUUGCAAUCUUGCUUGGUGUACUUUCUGGUUGACGGGCCAGCAUCAAUUUUGACCGCCGGAUAAAGGCGAGAGAAAUGUGGCACCUUCGGGUGUGUUAUAGUCUCUUGUCGCAUACGGCGGUUGGGAUUGAGGAACUCAGCAUGCCUUUACGGUCGGGGUUCGCCCACGUUCAUGCUUAGGAUGCUGGCGUAAUGGCUUUAAACGA
rnacentral:rRNA from 1 species